rnacentral:rRNA from 1 species
CCCUUAGAUGUUCUGGGCCGCACGCGCGCUACACUGAUGCAUUCAACGAGUCUAAAACCUGCUCUGAUAGGGGUGGGUAAUCUUUUGAAUGUGCAUCGUGAUUGGGAUAGAUGAUUGCAAUUUUUCAUCUUCAACGAGGAAUGCCUAGUAAACGCAAGUCAUCAGCUUGCAUUGAUUACGUCCCUGCCCUUUGUACACACCGCCCGUCGCUCCUACCGAUUGAAUGAUCCGAUGAAUAUCAUAGACUGAGAGUAUAAGCAGGUUCGCCUGUCUUUGCUUCUCGGGAAGUGAAGUAAAUCUCAUCAUUUAGAGGAAGGAGAAGUCGUAACA